AGCUUUGCGCAGUGGCAGUAUCGUAGCCAAUGAGGUUAAUCCGAGGCGCAAUUAUUGCUAAUUGAAAACUUUUCCCAAUACCCCGCCAUGACAACUUGAAAUAUAGUCGGCAAUGGCAAACAAAACAAAAAACAAAAAAGCCCUUCCUUAAUGUU